GGGGGUGUUCCGGUUUCGACGGGGUGUAGGACGUCGCACGGGGCAUGCCGAGGUCUAGUCUCCUCGUUAAUCCGCUAGAAAUAAAUAAACGCCAACAACGAGCGUUUCGCUCUCGCCGCUUGAUCGGUGAGCGAUGCACUGAGUGGUCUCUGGCUCAGGCAGGGCAACCUGCAGCAUCGUCAUUUCACAGAGUCUAGGAGUCGACGGUGUCGCGACGCCGUCUCCGAAACUUAGCGACUGGCUGUUCGUCGGCCCGUUCAUCGGCAGGGCGGACAGUAAGACUCAAAUCAUUGAACUAAGCAUGUAGAACCGGCGAAAAAAUCGCUUCGGACGCGGGUUCAAUUCCCGCCACCUCCACCA
rnacentral:tmRNA from 1 species